UACGUAGGGGGCUAGCGUUGUCCGGAUUUAUUGGGCGUAAAGAGCGUGUAGGCGGCCAGGUAGGUCCGCUGUGAAAGUCCGAGGCUCAACCUCGGAAUGUCGGCGGAAACCCUCUGGCUAGAGUCCGGAAGAGGAGAGUGGAAUUCCCAGUGUAGUGGUGAAAUACGUAGAGAUUGGGAAGAACACCAGUGGCGAAGGCGGCUAUCUGGACGGUUUCUGACGCUAAGACGCGAAAGCGUGGGGAGCAAACAGG
rnacentral:rRNA from 1 species